rnacentral:lncRNA from 1 species
UUGUAACAAACAAAUACAUGCAUAAAUAAGUGCAUUUGAACAUCGACUUACAUAAUAGAGUCAAUACAUGAAACUAGCCACUUUCUUAUAGUAAAAUUAAAAUUUAUCCACUCAUAUAAAAAGUUUAAAAUUUAGCCACUUUUUUAUGUGAAAGUACAGAUUUACCCUUGAUAUAAAAAAUUAAAAACUAGCCUAUAUCCACUAUCUCUCUCUUUCUCUCUACCUCCUUCCUCCCCAAUUCAGAACUACGCAGGCGCAGCUCCAACCGCCCCUCUUCGCAGCAACGGAGCUGGUCCAACGCCACUGCCGUGCCGGCCUCCACCGUCUUUGCCUGGUUCCACCCCCCACAGGCAGAGUUUUGCCAGAAGCUUCAGCGCCGAUAUGACCAAUCGGACCCCACGGCGGCGGUGUUCCGUUGUAUCUGCGAGGAUUUGUGGAUAAUAUAGAAAAAGAAAGAGGUUGAAAACGAAAUAAUUUUUAUUAAACUGGUAUGAAUUCAUAUUGCUAAUCAUUCGCUAGUUGUAAUUGUGGAGAGAGAGGUUGAGACCAAAGCAUUGUGAUUGUUUUUUAAGUCGAGACUAAUCUGAUUUUUUUUUUUUUUUUCGAGUAGAAACUAAUCUGUUAUAGUGGACAAUGAGAUUUAAGCUAAUGUUUCCGUGCAAUUUUAGUGGAGCGACCACUCACAUAUAUGGCGGUACAGUCCAAUUUCUGUAUCCACAAAUACAGGCUCUCCUCCUCUCAUCUCCCACUUCUUGUUUUUCUCGGUGUUUGCACCUAUAAACUCCAAAAAGAAA